rfam:Operophtera brumata OBRT01_Sc00993, whole genome shotgun sequence.
GUAUAUAUAGUUAUGUUUGUAGCCUGGUGGAGAUGGCAGCACAAGUACGUGCAGCCUAAGAAAGUGGGCAUGGCUCCUUUCUUCCAGCUGCUGGUUGGCAGCAUGACCUUCUUCUACUUUAUCAACUACGGAAAAAUGAGUAAGUGGUCCAGGUUUUCACAUCUUUUGAGUAACUAUUA